AUGGUCAGCUCCUGUUGUGGCUCUGUCUGCUCUGACCAGAGCUGUGGUUGAGGUCUCUGCCAGGAGAGCUGCUGCUGCCCCCACCGCUGCCAGACCACCUGCUGCCACCGAGCUGCUACAUCUCCAGCUGCUGCAGGCCUUCCUUCUGUAUCUCCAGCUGCUGCAGGCCUUCCUUCUGUAUCUCCAGCUGCUGCAGACCCAGUUGCUGCCAGACCACUUGCUGCACGACCACCUGCUGCCGCCCCAGCUGCUGCAUCUCUAGCUGCUGCAGGCCCCAGUGCUGUCAGCCCUCCUGCUACCACCCUGCUUGCUGCAUUUCUAGCUGCUGUCCUUCCAGCUGCUGCCGCCCCUCCUGUUGCCAGACCACCUGCUGUAGAACAACCUGCUUCCGCCCCAUCUGCUGUGGCAAUUCUUGUUGCUGAGUGACCUGCUCUGGAUUUGUGCAACUUCUUGCUCUUAUCCUUCAGUUCAGACAGACAGCAACUAUUCAGAGAACAUGUGGACUUUCUGAUGUCAUGAAAACAGAGGCAUGGACUGAUUUGGAAAAGCCCAGUCUCUUUAUUAGUGUUUAUUCUCUUUUAUAGAAGCUUUUUGUUACUAUUGAAUCUGAAUUUACAGUCAAAUUCCAUAUCAUAUGUUUUAGAAUUCUUUAUUGUAAUUCAAUAGACCUAAGUCUUCAAAUGGUACCCAUCUAUAUGUUUCUUCCUAGUGUUUUUCUAUGGAAUCAAUUUUCAAGUGCAAUUGCUUGAUGUUCAUCAAUAAAACUUCAUAAUGUUCAAAAGCA